UACGGGGGGGGCAAGCGUUGUUCGGAAUUACUGGGCGUAAAGGGCGCGUAGGCGGCCCUCUAAGUCAGACGUGAAAUCCCACGGCUUAACCGUGGAACUGCGUCUGAUACUGCCGGGCUAGAGUCCGGAAGAGGCGAGUGGAACUCCUGGUGUAGCGGUGGAAUGCGCAGAUAUCAGGAAGAACACCAACGGCGAAGGCAGCUCGCUGGGACGGUACUGACGCUGAGACGCGAAAGCGUGGGGAGCGAACAGG
rnacentral:rRNA from 1 species